CCUGGCUCAGAACGAACGCUGGCGGCAUGCCUAACACAUGCAAGUCGAACGAACCCUUCGGGGUUAGUGGCGCACGGGUGCGUAACGCGUGGGAACCUGCCUUUAGGUCCGGGAUAACAGUUGGAAACGACUGCUAAUACCGGAUGAUGUCUUCGGACCAAAGAUUUAUCGCCUUUAGAUGGGCCCGCGUUGGAUUAGGUAGUUGGUGGGGUAAAGGCCUACCAAGCCGACGAUCCAUAGCUGGUCUGAGAGGAUGAUCAGCCACACUGGGACUGAGACACGGCCCAGACUCCUACGGGAGGCAGCAGUGGGGAAUAUUGGACAAUGGGCGAAAGCCUGAUCCAGCAAUGCCGCGUGAGUGAUGAAGGCCUUAGGGUUGUAAAGCUCUUUUACUGGGG
rnacentral:rRNA from 1 species